UCAAACUUGGUCAUUUAGAGGAAGUAAAAGUCGUAACAAGGUUUCCGUAGGUGAACCUGCGGAAGGAUCAUUAUUGAAUAUGCUUGAUAGGUUGUAGCUGACUCUCCGGAGUAUGUGCACGCUUAUCUUGACUUAAUUCAUCCACCUGUGCACCUUUUGUAGUCUUGGGGGUUGAGAUUGGUCGACUAUCGGAUAUUCCGGAUGUGAGGAUUGCUACAGCUCUUCUCAAAUGACUUGUCUUCCUCGAGUGCUAUGUAUUCAUAUACCACAUAGUAUGUUGUAGAAUGUGAUCAAUGGGUCUAUGUACCUAUAAUAAUCAUAUACAACUUUCAGCAACGGAUCUCUUGGCUCUCGCAUCGAUGAAGAACGCAGC
rnacentral:misc_RNA from 1 species